AUGGCAAACACCCUACCGCAGUGUGGGACUAAUCGUUUUCAUUUACCAUCUCAUGGAAAACCCUUUUCGUUCCGCUUAGCCCUAUCGGGUAUUUUAGUGACAGGUUCUUUAGGAACUGGACGAUCCUAUUUGGUUAAAUACCUAACGAAAAAUUACGAUUUUCCUUUCAUUAAGGUACGAGGGCUUCUUAUUCCACAAGAACGAAAGCACAUUUUCAUUCUUUCAUAUACUAGGGGUACGACUAGGAUGAUCCUUGUCAUCAAAGAUGAUGGGCGUGCGGGACCAUUUGAGCAGCUUCCGGGCCUUUGGCGCUGGUUCCACGGCAUUGACUUCUCGCGCCCACCGCUUGAGUUGGCGGUUAGAGGUGUGCAGAGAUGCACCCCCGUCAAUGCACAGGGCGUCAGUGGCUUUCUGAAACUCUUGCUCACUGGUUUCCUCUUCACCCCCUCCAUCACUCUCAUCAUCACAGGCUUCCUUCUCUCGACCUCUGGCGGGCUUUCCUUUGUUCCGAAAGGGGUUUCCGGGGCGAUUUACUUCACCACCUCGGCUCUUUCCGCCAGCAACAUUCUGACCCUUUUCCUUGUCAUGCUUCUCAUACUCUGCUCUUUGUCUCUUAACAGGCUCCUCAACCUGAUAACACUCUUGAAGGUCGUGGCCUUUCGUCCGAUGAAUCUUGUUGUACGGCCCAUCACCUUUCCCGGCCUUCUCGAAAGUCGUGGCUUCCUGGCAGUCAGCGCACAUGGCGGCUUCCUUGCCGGGGGCCUCAGCUUUGGCCUUCCUGCCGGUACUGGGUGCACCUGA
rnacentral:rRNA from 1 species